UUUUAAGAGGAUUUGAUCCUGGUCCAGGAUGAACGCUGGCGGCGUGGAUAAGGCAUGCAAGUCGAGCGGAACUAUCUUUGAAGGAAUUUGAGAUUACAUCAAGGAUUGCGGAUUUGAUAGUUUAGCGGCGAACGAGUUAGUAACACCCUGGUACGUACCUCGAAGUCGGGAAUAGUCCGCCGAAAGGCGGGGUAAUGCCCGAUAGUCCCGCAAGGGUAAAGCAGCAAUGCGCUUCGAGAUCGGCCUAGGCCCGAUCAGCUAGUUGGUGAGGUAAUGGCUCACCAAGGCUAUGACCGGUAGGGGGGGUGAGAGCCCGGUCCCCAACGACGAGACUGAGACACGGCUCGUACUCCUACGGGAGGCAGCAGUCGAGAAUAUUCGACAAUGGGCGAAAGCCUGAUCGAGCGACGCCGCGUGCAGGAUGAAGGCCUUCGGGUUGUAAACUGCGGUAGUAGGGGAGGAACUUCGGUGACUGUACCCUACGGAAAGUGGUUGGUAACUACGUGCCAGCACCAGCGGUAAUACGUAGACCACAAGCGUUAUCCGGAUUUAUUGGGCGUAAAGCGCAUGUAGGAGGUUCGGUGCGUCCCUGGUUAAAGCCCACCGCCUAACGGUGGAAGUGCCGGGGAUACGAUCGAACUGGAGGAUGUGAGAGGUGCAUGGAACUCACGGUGUAGGGGUGAAAUCCGUUGAUAUCGUGGGGAACACCAAAGGCGAAGGCAGUGCACUGGUACAUUCCUGACUCUGAGAUGCGAAAGCGUGGGGAGCAAAAAGGAUUAGAUAAAUCCUGUCCGCCGCAAAAUUUGCGGUGGCGAAGGGUGUCCCCUUCGACGGCGACGUCGAAGUGCGCAUCUAGCUAUAUCGGGGAACCCCUUCUAGUCGGAGGGCGAUCCCGAGGGAAGUCGGCGCGCGAGCGUAUCGACCCCGUAGAGACUAUGUAAGUAAGAAGAUAGAAAAUGAGCACAUCAUUUUUGUCGGAUCGCACCAAAGAACUCAUUCUAGGCUCAUUGCUGGGAGAUGGAUCGCUUAAGAUCCAUAAACCAUACAAGAAUGCGCGUUUUUCUUUUCGCCAUUCCAUCAAGCAAAAAGAAUAUUUUUUCUGGAAAGUAUCUGAACUGAAAGAUAUCUCCGGCGAAAGUUGUUGGUGGGAACAAGAGAAGAAUGGUCUAGGCGGAACCAUGUUGAGGUAUCAAAGCCUCGCAUGCGAACCGCUAACCGAACUUUAUAAGUUCACGCACGCGCAUGGCAAGUUAACGAUCGCGCGCAGGUGGUUGAACAAACUAACCCCUCGCUCACUUGCGGUAUGGUGGCUGGAUGACGGUUCGUUGAUAGUUAACAGCCGUCGUGGCGUGCUAUGUACCGAUCCAUUCUCCUAUGAAGAGCAUAAAUUACUUGCCCGCUAUCUAUUGGUAGUGUGGAAAGUCAAGGUCUCAAUCGGCUCUAUUACGAGAAACCGCGACGGCAUCGCUAAGACAUAUUAUCGUCUUUGGAUCCGCUCGAGCGAGGAAUUGCAAAAGUUCCUGCGCAUAAUCCUGCCGUAUGUUCCCGUGCCCGCAAUGUUGCCUAAAGUCAUGCUUCUUUAUCGCGAUUCCCAAUUACAGCAACGCUGGAUCUCUGAAGUGAGUUCGCUUACCGGUUUCGAUGAGAAAGUGGUAGCUGAUUAUGCCAUGCAGAAAAAACAGGCAUGGAAGCAAUUCAGAGAAUGAUAUAGUCCGAUCUCCGUAGUAAUACGGAUAAACACAAGGUGACCCUUGUAGUCCACGCCCUAAACGAUGCAGGUUUGCUGUUUCGAGUAUCGACCCUCGGAGCGGCGGAGCUAACGCGUUAAACCUGCCGCCUGGGAAGUACGAGCGCAAGCUUAAAACUCAAAGGAAUAGACGGGGACUCGCACAAGCGGUGGAACAUGAGGUUUAAUUCGACAAUGAACGAAGAACCUCACCAGGGUUUGAAAUGCUUAUUGUAAGCCUUUGGAAACAUUGGCCCUCCGCAAGGACAGUAAGCACAGGUGCUGCAUGGUUGUCGUCAGCUCGUGCCGUGAGGCGUUCCCUUAAUUGGGGUAACGAGCGCAACCCCUGUUUCGUGUUACAAGUGUCACGAAAAACUGCCCAGCCUAGAGGAAGGCGAGGAGCAGGGUCUAGCGUCUAGGGUAAGACACCCUAGCCCCUAACCCCUAGCCCCUGGUUUUCUCCAGGCUGGGAGGAAGGAGGGGAUGACGUCAAAUCCGCAUGGCCCUUUGAUACCCUGGGCUACACUCAUGUUACAAUGGUCGCGACAAAGGGUUGCCAAGCCGUAAGGCGGAGCUAAUCCCAAAACCGCGGUCUUAGUUCGGAUUGAGGGCUGCAACUCGCCCUCAUGAAGCUGGAAUCGCUAGUAAUCGUGGGUCAGCUAUACCACGGUGAAUACGUUCUCGAGUCCUGUACUCACCGCCCGUCAAGCCAAGGGAGCCGGUAAUAGGUGAAGUCUCUCGCAAGAGGGAUCAGUCUAGGAUCGGUGACAUGGGCUAAGUCGUAACAAGGCACGCGUAGCGGAAGCUGUGCGUGGAUCAAUUAAACU
rfam:Candidatus Liptonbacteria bacterium RIFCSPHIGHO2_01_FTLL_57_28 rifcsphigho2_01_scaffold_4660, whole genome shotgun sequence.